AAAUUCCAUCCUGGGAAGGGAUAAAUUAUUCACAAGAGAGAAACAGGAUGGGGCGCCUGGGUGGCUCAGUGGGUUAAAGCCUCUGCCUUCAGCUCAGGUCAUGAUCUCGGAGUUCUGGGAUCGAACCCCACAUCGGGCUCUCUGCUCAGCAGGGAGCCUGCCUCCCCCUCUGUCUCUGUCUGCCUCUCUGCCUACUUGUGAUUUCUGUCAAAUAAAUAAAUAAAAUAUUAAAAAAAAAAAAAGAGAGAGAGAGAGAGAGAGAAACAGGACGCAUUUGCUAGGGGAACCGGGGGGCACAGUUCUCUGGGCCCUCACUCACUCAUCUCUAUGCUAUUUGAAGACUACCUACUGUAUGUUACACAUUUAUUAAGCAUCGUCUGUAUGCAUAUUACUGUAAGAGAGACAAAGUUGAGUAAAACUGGGAUUCAGUAUGGCUCGAAAAUCUGUUUAGCUCUAACAUGAAAUGACGCCUAUACUACCCAGAAGAGCCAGUUAACUCUCUCACAGUGCGCUGUUGGCUCCAGGACACACUUUGCUUUGUGUUCUCUCCCUGUGAUGCGGAUCUCACUCUAUGAUCUUUCCACUGUUGUCCCAAACCUACCAGAGAUUCUUAUGGUCUGUAUUUCCAAGACAAAAAUAAACAAGAAAAAUCUUUAUCUUUAGGUCAGUUCUCUAUAAGAUCAUUCUUUCUUUCUUUUUUUCCCUAAGAUUUUAUUUAUCUAUUUGGGCGUGGGGAGGACAGAGGGAGAAGGAGACUCCCUGCUGAGUGGGGAGUCAGACAUGGGAUCCAGGACCCUGGGAUUAUGACCUGAGCUGAAGGCAGAGGCUUAACUGAUUGAGCCACCCAGGCAUCCCUAAACACGAUCAUUUUGUUCCGAACCACCACGUUUCCCCUUGUCUGUGAGAACUAUGAAACAUGCUUUACUGGGAAGUAGGAUGUCCUCAUGUGGGGUCUUCCUGCUUGAGACCCUGGAAUCAGACCUGCUGAUGGGGCCCAGAGAUCUGAAUGUGAGUGUCUCCGGGCACCUCUGAGGCUCACUAACAAGAAACCUUUGCUCUAGGAGAAAACAGGUCGCCCUCCCACGUGCUGCCCUGUGCUACAGGGCCCUGCCUGCCCCCACCCCCGCCCCCAGGGCCUGCUCCCUAUGUUUCAAGUCCAGCCUCCCCUGUAGGGAUUUAGUAACAGACAACUACAGACAGGAUUAGCCCAGAUCCUUACUUCCUGCUAUACUUCCGCUCACAGACAGGUGUCUCCCGUAACUGGGCCCUGGUGCCAUCAGGCCGCACGCUCUGAACCAACUUUUCCACGAGCAUCAUCAGGAGAUCCCAACACAUUUUUGUACAAACAGUACCUGGUCUUUGGGAUACAAACAGUACCUGGUCUUUGGGAUUUAUCUAUCAUCAUCAUCACGUCUGGGCUCUAGAGAAAAAGCACAGGCCCUGGCCCAGACCCAUGGACUCAGGAUUUCCAGGGGUCAAACAUGCUUGUCUGACAAAGCUCCCACAGGAAGCCAACAGUACCCCAGGUUAAGACCACCAGACCACAUAGCUCAAGCUAAGAGGACUCAUUUUAUUUUCAAGACCAAUGUGGGAAGUGGGGAUAUCCUUAAUGUCUUCUUCCAAAACCAAAUCGAAGGACACAGUUGGACAUAAAAGGGCAUGUCAUUUUACCUGUGGCCCUGAGUCUAUGCAAAGAUUGCCAAGUAGUUCCUUAUUUAAAAAUGACUAGCUCCGGAGUUCCUCCAGGGGAUUUCAGAAGUGUGGGGUGAUUCCCUAAUGACUUCUUCGCACUUUGUUGAGUUUCUCAGUUUUCUUACUUGGACAACCUUUCCACUUUAAAAGGAUAUCAUUUUGCAACCUAAUCAUGAAGACUUUGGCCCCAUAUUUUUUGUAGUCUUAGGGACAGAUUUCCUUAGUUUUCAAAAUUUUCUCUCUUCUUAGCCACUGGCGGGCUGGUUAUGUAUCUCUUAACUCCUACAGAAAACUACAUGACCUUGUAAUUUUAAUGGCCUCUACUCAUCAGCUCUUUUCCCCCUCACAUUGGCCAGUCACGCAUGCUCUCAAAACUACUUCUGUUCAAAAGAAAGGUAGAAGUGGGGCGCCUGGGUGGCUCAGUGGGUUAAGCCUCUGCCUUUGGCUUGGCUCGUAGACUCAGGGUUCUGGGAUCGAGCCGCGCAUCGGGCUCUCUGCUCAACAGGGAGCCUGCUUCCCCCUCCCCCUCUGCCUGUCUCUCUGCCUACUUGUGAUCUCUGUCAAAUAAGUAAAUAAAAUCUUAAAAAAAAAAAGGUAGAAUUACUCUGUUACCUCUUUUGCCCAUUAUUUGGCAGAAAAAAUAAGCAGAAGAAAAAUGACUACAGAGAGUCGGAAGAACAAGACCUGGACAACCAUACAGGGACGGAUAGGGACUCUGGGACGCUCAGGCUCCUAUCUGCAACUCCCAGUUACACCCCUGCCCCCAGCCCCCAUCCCAGCCUGGGUGCCACCACGGGGCCUCCUGGGCCCACAUGCUUCCCAGCCACCCCACAUCCUUUCCUGGUGCCUCCAGCAUUGCCCUCUCUCUGCCCCUUCCACUCAGCAGCUAGCAACCACUUGCCUCCCGUGCCCCCUCACAAAGUGGCAUCCCUGCCUCUCACAUCUCUGGGGCUAGGAGGCUAGGAGGCAGCAGGAGUGGGGGGAGACAGGAUGCACAAGAGACAAAUCAAAUUUCCCCACAUCCGGGGACUUCUGUUGUGGCUCCCUGAUCCAAGCCCAGCCUCAAUCUCUUUGCCACCUUCCAUUCCUCCUGGAUCUCCAACAACCCUCCCCCCCCCCCACACACACACCCUGUCUCCAAAUCCCCCCAACCAUGGAACUCUUCCAUAGGAAUCGCCCUGGUUUCCCAAAAGUGGAGCAACAAGGCUGUCUACCCCACAAGGGGCUGCUGGCAGAAAUGAGGAGACGGGUUCGAAAGUGCUUAGUGCCAGUGCCUGGCAUAUAAUGGACGGUCUGCGCGCCGGAUAAGUGCACAAAGAUAAAAACAGUGCCAGGUCUGAAAGACCAUCUUGGACCCGAACUAAGCACAAUGCAGAGUUGACCACGGUAAGGAGCAAGGCCGGUCUUUGCCCACCAGGGGGCAGCACGCUGCGGCCAGAAGGGAUGAGAAACCAGCGCUUACCUAUCAGAAGCCAGUAGUUCCUCAGGAUGUUCAAAUAUAAUUCAGAGUCAUUCUUUGCCAAAAUGGAAAAGGAGUGCUUGGGAGGAGGCUGCCCCUGUGAGCCCCCGAGAGGAGACUUACCACAACGGCGACUCCCUCGUGAACCAUGGAGGGGGAGGCAUACAGGCUGGUAGAGUACUUCCCGACAUACAGGGUGGGCCUAGGAGACAAGCAGAAACAUGCCUUCUACAGUCACUUAAUUUCUAUGUUCCACAGAAGGGGCCUUUCUGGAGAGAAGUGUGCCAGGCCCAAAUGCCACGCUAAGAAUAACCAGAUUAACCACUGGCACUCCAGCAGCGGAGUGAAGGCAGGGCUACCAUCCUGGGAACCUGGACUGCAGGCCCCGGCUGUCGCUGCCUCCAGAGGCGUGCACGAGUCAGCCAACUGCCAGCCUGGCUUCCCCUCACCCGCCAAGGGAAGGCUGCGCUGGACCGUCCCCAUGCCUCCUGCAGAAAGAACCACGGACAGUGCUCACCCGGGAAGGACCAAAUGCUCGCAACCACUGCCAAGACACUAAGGUGGCCCGGAUCACAGCCCGCUCUGACAACCGAGCUGCCAUUCUGUCUCGUGACUCGUCGGGAGUCUAGAGGUUCUACAGAAACCCUGAGGCACACUCGCUGCUCUCAGCUGGAUGACUGCAGCAAAGGGGUACACAAGAAGUUCCAAACCAGUGAGGGUGCUGCUCCCCCAGCCGGUGGGCAGCGAAGGGGCGGAGGGGGGAGGGUCCGGCUUUGUCUGUGGGGUCGGCGUGAAGAGGCAGGGGCUGCACCUCCAGACCCUCGCGGUUACCAGCAAUAGCCAGUGUGGGGUUGGUCAUCACUAAAGCCUUGGAACCUCCCUCGACAGACACCUGCCGUGCGAAAGGUGCUGUGCCAACUCGGAGAGCGCUCACGGCCCCACUGCUCUCCCUGUAGCCCUGCGGAGCGGGAAACGGGGAUUCAGCAAGGCCACGGGACCACGCUGCCGGCUGCUAACAGGUGGGGAUGGCGAACACAAGCCUGCAGAGGCUCAGGCUUAUUACACGCGGUAACACUCUUUCCCUCAUUUUGGAAACGAGUAUGACUUAGAGUGAGAAUUUAGAAAAUCCAGAAAGCUGAAAGGUAAAGACAUCUCUUGUCCUCCCACCAGCUGAGACAGAUGCAAACUGUGCUGGGGUUCUGUAUCAGCGGUCUCUUAUCCCUGUCCAGAAUUUUGAUUUAUGUGAUAUUCGAGAACUCUGAAGCAUCAAGGCAUGCCCCAGUGCAUAGACGCAUCUCGAACUUUCCAAUGGGGCCAGUCCUGGCUCUUUAUCCACCCUGUGCCAUGGCGUCCUGCAGACGGUCUGGGUCACGGCUGCCCUCUUCUGUCCUGGGUCCCCUGACUCACGUCAGCUUGCUCUUGGCCUCCGUCUCCUUGGGGAACGGGUACUUCCACUUGGUGAUGCGGCCCACCUCCCCGGACAUGAAGGUCAGGUAGCGCAGGGUCUCCACAGCGACGUUGAUGUGCAGCACCUUCUUCAGACCCUCCCGCUGCCAGACGUAAAAGGCCACCACGGGCGAAGCGUAGUUUUGGAUCCACAGGACGUCGCCAGAUUCACUGUCCACGGUCACCACCAGCCCGUCGCCAUUAGACACAAAGUGGGACAUCUCUGCACAGAUCAAAUAAACAAAGCAUGCGGUCUCACCCCAUCUCACGCCCGACCACAUCCUCUCUCUCCUGGCAAGAAGCAGUCACUCAGCUAUAGGAAACAAGAUUUCUGGAGCAUUCUCAGAUAGCCUCCCAACGAUGUCACUCGUUUCCAGUGAACCCAGUGCAGGCUCUACAACAUCAGGACAGUGAGAGCUGCCUGCUUCAUAAACGUAAGCUAGGACCACUCUGUGGACGGUGGUUUACCUGGUGAGACUCUCGGGCGCUCUACACAAUUAGCCGGAGUCGACAGUGAGGAGGAAAGAGCCAGGGAAGAGGCCCAGGAUUCAGAUAUUUUAUAGCAAUCAUUUCAAACCAACUGAUGGAGUGGAAGGUCAAAGCUGACCACUGACACUGCCCCCAUCUGCCCACAGAGGAGAUCUCUGUCAGACGUUCAGGUCUCAGUGUUCAGAUGGCAAAAUUGGCUUUCAGUUUUCAUUUGAGUUGGGAGAACGUUUACAAGAGAAAUAAACUAGGGGGAUGAGUCACAUUUAGGGGAUGGACUGUUCCCGUCACAGCAUACUUAGUUCCGCUUCCCAGGGGCUUGUGGUGUGUUCCUUCUGGGACUCAGAGAGACUCAAUAUGGCGCUUGACCCUCCUCUCAGGCUAACUCCCCACCCACUCUACUAAGGUUACCUUCCACGCUUCUCACCUAGGCCCCUGCCUUCAAUACCGACUGUCAAAGCCUUGGUAUCUCCAAAAGCUGGUGGCCAAGAGCGCCUUAAAAGAACACCCGACAUUUGGGAGUGACAGCGUCCUCAGUGGUCACACGUACCCCGCCAGCCUUGUGGAGCCUCCCGGGAGCACUUACUGUAGUCCCCGUCGUCCUCAGGCAGUGAGGCUGCGUAGUCGAAGUAGGUGGCGUUCCACCGGAGCUCGCGGGUUUUGGUGUCGUACAUGGUGAUGGUGUAUUCUGGAGAACACACACCGGCCUAUUACCUGCAGGGGCCCCAGCACCUGCUGAAGGGCCGACCUGACCUACAUGACAAUGGACAGACCCUUUCUACAUGUCUGUAAAGUGUGCAGGCCAUCCGUAGGGAGAGAGAAAGGCCAUGUGGGCGGGAACUGAAGUCCCAGACACACGGGUGAACCUGGCCGACAGCGUGUGGAACAGGGACCAGCCACUCACACUGUGCCCUUAGACUCAUGACUCACAGAAUCAAUAUCACUGUGUUUAUUUUUUAUUUUUUUGCUAUUGUGCAUCAUGAUUUUAUUAUUAUUUUUUUAAUCACAGUAUCAUUUAAAACCACCUAAGUGGUGGAGUGGUUUAGUAUAUAGCAAAAGAUAGCUGAUGUUAGAAACUGGUACCCAGAGAUGGGAUAGGGCUAUGACAACACAAGGAAACGUGUGGCAUUGGCUGGGACAAGGUGGCGGGGGGAGGCUGGCAGGCCGACAUGAAGACUGAAGGAGAGGAAGGAAACUGCUCCUGGGAGCUGCCAAGGGGUGGCCCAGGCUAUGACGCGGUGACACUAGCACAGACCACUGCUUGCAGUAACUUGGAAAAGCGCAAGAAAGCACCUGGCGAUCUUGCGGGUUUGGCUGCGGGGAUCUUCAGACAGAACUCAGAAAGUGCCAAGCAGGCUCUCCUAACUGCAUGUGAUGUAUUGUGACAUGGAGGGGCUGAAGAAGAAACCAUUCAGUUUUUAAGCUGAAUACAAAGAAAAUCUAGAGGGGCCAGGACCAACACUCCAGCUGGAAGAGCCUCACUAUAAAAAACGGCCUCAAGGUCAAGAUCAAAUCAAGGCAAACAGGUGCGUAGCUGGUGGAGAGGGAUGGACCCACUGCUGAAUGUCUUUAAAAACAGCAAUGCUAGGGCACCUGGGUGGCUCAGUGGGUUGGGCCUCUGCCUUCAGCUCAGGUCGUGAUCUCAGGGUCCUGAGAUCGAGCCCCAAGUCGGGCUCUCUGCUCAGCGAGGAGCCCGCUUCUCCCCUCUCUCUGCCUGCUUCUCUGCCUACUUGUGAUCGCGCGUGCUCGCGCUCUCUCUCUCUCUCUCUCUCUGUCAAAUAAAUAAAUAAAUAAAAUCUUUAAAAAUAAAAAAAUAAAA